rnacentral:rRNA from 1 species
GGGACACGUGGUAUCCUGUCUGAAUAUGGGGGGACCAUCCUCCAAGGCUAAAUACUCCUGACUGACCGAUAGUGAACCAGUACCGUGAGGGAAAGGCGAAAAGAACCCCGGCGAGGGGAGUGAAAAAGAACCUGAAACCGUGUACGUACAAGCAGUGGGAGCACCUUCGGGUGUGACUGCGUACCUUUUGUAUAAUGGGUCAGCGACUUAUAUUCUGUAGCAAGGUUAACCGUAUAGGGGAGCCGCAGGGAAACCGAGUCUUAACUGGGCGUUAAGUUGCAGGGUAUAGACCCGAAACCCGGUGAUCUAGCCAUGGGCAGGUUGAAGGUUGGGUAACACUAACUGGAGGACCGAACCGACUAAUGUUGAAAAAUUAGCGGAUG